CAGUAGCCACGGGAAUACGAAGGGGGCUAGCGUUGUUCGGAUUUACUGGGCGUAAAGCGCACGUAGGCGGAUUCUUAAGUCAGAGGUGAAAUCCCAAGGCUCAACCUUGGAACUGCCUUUGAUACUGGGGAUCUUGAGUCCGGGAGAGGUGAGUGGAACUGCGAGUGUAGAGGUGAAAUUCGUAGAUAUUCGCAAGAACACCAGUGGCGAAGGCGGCUCACUGGCCCGGUACUGACGCUGAGGUGCGAAAGCGUGGGGAGCAAACAGGAUUAGAUACCCCAGUAGUCCCUGUCUCUUAUAU
rnacentral:rRNA from 1 species